GUUUUGUUUGUUUAAGUCUCCCGUCCACUACCCGUCCACCUUGGGUGGUAUGUUAAAGUCUCUCUCUCUUUCCCUCUCUCUCUCUCUCCCUGCACCGUCUUCUCCCUCAUCUUCACAUAUGCGCUUCUCUCUGCACCAUCUCCUCCCUCAUCUUCACAGACGCGCUGCAGAAAUUCAUCGGCAACACUCUCUUUUCCCUCAUCUUCACAGAGACAAGCUAAACCUCGUUUUUCUCUCCAUUUCUCUCGGUGCAGCUAGGACAGUGGAACCUAGGAACUCUCUGGCGAGUUCUCUUGAUCCUUCUCCGGUUAGGUUUUAGAAGGAGAUCGACUCGGGGGAAGGCACACCAGCUCCGGCGAGGCCGUGAGUGUCGACGAACUUUCCGAACACCUCCGACCGUUUCACGGCAAACGAAAGUUAUAAAAACAUUCCUCUCGUCUUCUAUUUCAUUUUGAUACCUAGAUCAGAGUCUAGGGUGCUCUUUUACAAUCGGCCGGAGCUGUAGACGCUCCGGCGUUCUUCUCCGAUUUGCACAGAUCCAAAAUUUCACGAUAUUAUCAGUAAUAUCGUGAUAUUUUGACGAAAACUCCUUGGAUACCUAUUAAAAUAUCGAUAAAGCAAAAAAUCGAUAAUAUCGGCGAAAUAUCGCCGAUAUUAUCAGCAUUUAAGACAUCGGUUAUAACAGCCCUUGUGAUUAGCUAAUGUUUAGUUAGAUAAUGAUGUAAUUAGUUGAUAACACAAGUGGGUGUGUCAUUAGUGUAUAUACUCCAAAGAUGUAAUCUUAUUGUUUAAGAAAUGAAAGUAUAUAAUUUCUAUCA